GCACCCCUGGUCAUAUUUUGGUAACGCGCUUCUUCACCGGCCGACUCCACCGUGGGGGUUUCUCUGCCACAACAUGCAUUGACUUGGGGCUACUUACAAAACCUGGUGGAUUUAUUGUUCCACAGUGUUGUGGGAACCCUCUUACCACAUCAGGAGCAGAAGGCUGGGGCAGUACAUGGCCAGGCACCAGUCCCACUUCAGGACAAUGACCGAACACACCUCCAAGCUGCAUAAGAGGACCUGGCCUCCACAAUUACCCGACCUCAACCCAAUUGAGAUGGUUUGGGAUGAGUUGGACCGCAGAGUGAAGGAAAAGCAGCCAACAAGUGCUCAGCAUAUGUGGGAACUCCUAUCUCAAAUAUUAAACAUGUUGAUUUGUUUAACACUUUUAUGGUUACUACAUGAUUCCAUAUGUGUUAUUUCGUAGUUUUGAUGUCUUCACUAUUAUUCUACAAUGUAGAAAAUAGUAAAAAUAAAGAAAAACCCUUGAAUGAGUAGGUGUGUGCAAACGUUUAACUGGUACUGUAAGUAUUCAAACCCUUUGCUGUGAGACUCAAAAAUGAGCUCAGGUGCAUCCUGUUUCCAUUGAUCAUCCCUGAGAUGUUUCUACAACGUGAUUAGAGUCCACCUGUGGUAAAUUCCAUUUAGUUGGACAUGAUUUAGAAAGGCACACACCAGUAGAUAUAAGGACCCACAGUGUCAGAGCAAAAUGUCAGACAUGUCACACAUGUCAGAGCAAAAACCAAGCCAUGAGGUCGAAGGAAUUAUCCGUAGAGCGCUGAGACAGGAUUGUGUCGAGGCAAAGAUCUGGGGAAUGGUACCAAAAUAUUUCUGCAGCAUUGAAGGUCCCCAAGAACACAGUGGCCUCCAUCAUUCUUAAAUGGAAGAAGUUUGGAACCACCAAGACUCUUCCUAGAGCUGGCCGUCCGCCCAAACUGAGCAAUCGGGGGAGAAGGACCUUGGUCAGGGAGGUGAACAAGAACACGUUGGUCACUGACAGAGCUCUAGAGUUCCUCCACUUGGAGUUUGCCAAAAGGCAGCUAAAGACUCACAGACCAUGAGAAACAAGAUUUUCUGGUCAGAUGAUACCAAGAUUUAACUAUUUGGCCCAAUGCCAAGCGUCACGUCUGGAGGAAAUCUGGCACCAAUCCUACGGUGGAAAAUGGUGGUGGCAGCAUCAUGCUUAGGGAUGUUUUUUCAGCAGCAGGAACUGGGAGACCAGUCAGGAUCGAGGCAAAGAUAAACAGAGCAAAGUACAGAAAGAUCCUUGAUGAAUACCUGCUCCAGAGCACUCAGGACCUCAGACUGGGGCAAAGGCUCACCUUCCAACAGGACAACGACCCUAAGCACAGCCAAGACAACGCAGGAGUGGCUUCGGGACAAGUCUCAAUGUCCUUGAGUGGCCUAGCCAGAGCUCGGACUUGAACCCAAUCAAACAUCUCUGGAGACAUGAAAAUAGCUGUGCAGCGACGCUCCCCAUCCAACCUGACAGAGCUUGAGAGGAUCUGCAGAGAAUGGGAGUAUCUCCACAAAUACAGGUGUGCCAAGCUUGUAGCAUCAUACCCAAGAAGACUCGAUGCUGUAAUCACUGCCAAAGGUGCUUCAACAAAGUACUGAAUAGCGGGUCUGAA